GAUGAAGAACGUAGCGAAAUGCGAUAAGUAGUGUGAAUUGCAGAAUUCAGUUAAUCAUCGAAUCUUUGAACGCACAUUGCGCCCCAUGGUAUUCCGUGGGGCAUGCCUGUUCGAGCGUCAUUUACCCCCUCAAGCUCCGCUUGGUGUUGGGCGUCUGUCCCGCUUCGCGCGCGGACUCGCCCCAAAGGUAUUGGCAGCGGUCGUGCCAGCUUCUCGCGCAGCACAUUGCGCUUCUCGAGGCACCGGUGGGCCCGCGUCCAUCAAGCUCACCCCCCCAGUUUGACCUCGGAUCAGGUAGGGAUACCCGCUGAACUUAAGCAUAUCAAUAAGCGGAGGA
rnacentral:misc_RNA from 1 species